GACGAAUAGAUAUAUGCUUAAUUAUAUAAUAUGAUGACUGAUGAGGGAAGAAAGGUCCUGCAUGAGGAUAAAGAGCCGUUCUUGUAGCCAAGGAUGACUUGCCUGCAGCCUCCCAAAGGCCUCUGCAACAUAUAUAUACAGGCAGAGCUCGCUAGGUAGCUUGCUAGGGAUAGCUAGGGUUUAAGAAUCCUGGUGCUUGGUUAGCUAAGCUAGCUAACUUCCUAAGGUUUAAUUAAGAAUCCUU
rnacentral:sRNA from 1 species